CUACGGGAGGCACCAGUUAGGGAUAUUCGGCAAUGGGGGAAACCCUGACCGAGUAAUGCCGCGUGAAUGAAGAAGUAUUUCGAUAUGUAAAGUUCUGUUGUUAAGGAAGAAAGGUACGAAUAGGAAAUGAUUCGUAAUUGACGGUACUUAACCAGAAAGCCCCUGCUAACUACGUGCCAGCAGCAGCGGUAAUACGUAGGGGGCGAGCGUUAUCCGGAAUUAUUGGGCGUAAAGGGUGCGUAGGCGGCCUGUCAAGUCCGAGUUGAAAGCCCACGGCUUAACCGUGGAGGGUGCUCGGAAACUGAUAGGCUUGAAUCCAGAAGAGGCAAGUGGAAUUCUAUGUGGAGCGGUGGAAUGCGUAGAUAUAUGGAGGAACACCAGUGGCGAAGGCGGCUUGCUGGGCUGGUAUUGACGCUGAUGCACGAAAGCGUGGGGAGCAAACAGGAUUAGAUACCCCAGUAGUC
rnacentral:rRNA from 1 species